CCUACGGGAGGCAGCAGUGGGGAAUUUUGCGCAAUGGGAGAAACCCUGAAGGAGCGACGCCGCGUGGAGGAUGAAGGUCUUCGGAUUGUAAACUCCUGUCAUGAGGGAACAAACCUGCGCAUUUAACUGGUGCGCAGCUGAUAGUACCUCAAGAGGAAGAGACGGCUAACUCUGUGCCAGCAGCCGCGGUAAU
rnacentral:rRNA from 1 species